UACGGGAAGGGCAAGCGUUAUUCGGCAUGACUGGGCGUAAAGAGUCCGUAGGCUGUAAAGUAAGUUCUUUGUCGAAUUUUAAGACCUAAUCUUAAACUAGCAAUUAAUACUGCUUUACUUUGAGUUUAAUACAGAAAAGUAGAAUUUUAUACGACAGGGGUGAAAUCCGUAGAUAUAUAAAGGAAUGCCAACAGCGAAGGCAACUUUUUAGUAUAAACUGACGCUGAGGGACGAAAGCGUGGGUAGCAAACAGG
rnacentral:rRNA from 1 species